AGAAUACUUUGGUCAGUAUUAUGGACUUAGAAUAUGAAAUUUCUGUAUGGAUAUAAAUUUCUACAAUGACUGUAUUUUGAACCAGGUUUUUUUCCUGGCAGAAGAAGUUGUCCUCAACUAUCAGUAGGUUUUUAGAGAUGAACAUCACUCGAAAACUAUGGAGUCGAACUUUCAACUGUUCAGUCCCUUGCAGUGACACAGUGCCUGUAAUUGCUGUUUCUGUGUUCAUUCUCUUUCUACCUGUUGUCUUCUACCUUAGUAGCUUUCUUCACUCAGAGCAAAAGAAACGCAAACUCAUUCUGCCCAAACGUCUCAAGUCCAGUACCAGUUUUGCAAAUAUUCAGGAAAAUUCAAACUGAGACCUACAAAAUGGAGAAUUGACAUAUCACGUGAAUGAAUGGUGGAAGACAC
rnacentral:lncRNA from 1 species